rnacentral:lncRNA from 1 species
UCAAAUCUUUUAUUAUUUUUGAAGCAUUUAUAAACUCAUCGUAAAGCUCAUCAAAAGCAUCUUGCAUUUCUUCUAAAGAAAAGAUAAUUUUGGAAGAAAUACAUACCUCGUUUUGAGAUUCUUCAUGUGCCAUUAGACAAACGUUUGCGGUCUCUUCUUCUCCGUCGCUUGACUCGUCUCGGGAGUCACCUCCCCAAGAGAUGUAUGCCCUUUGCUUCUUUUCGGGUUUCUU